rnacentral:lncRNA from 1 species
CCAAGUCCAAGAAGAGGAAAGUAGACGUCAGGUGAUAGUUCUAAAUUUAAAUCAUGUUGACCGAUCAGUCAUGGUUGCUUCUUAUCCUAAGUCUGGCUUCUAUAUCCAGUCUCUUGUCACACUCAAACGAGGAGUCCCGCGAAUGCGACUACUGUGAGAGAAAGAACCAUACAAGGGAUCGUUGUUUUAAGCUUCAUGUACGCUCUAAAAGUCGUGAAGGAAGGUCUGGUAGUGGUAGUGGUAGUGGUCGUGGACGUGGUUCCUAUGCCCAUAUGUCCAC